ACUUUGGGAAGGGAGCGGUGGUUGGGAACAAGUUGUUCUCCAUGUGUGAACACAGGCUCAGAGAAGCCCUGCUGUCACUGCAGCACGCUUAUUUUGAAGAUAAGUGUGAAUCAGCAUGCUGUUCUUAUAGGCAAAGAAGUAGCAGCAAGAAAUCUCAGACUAUGCAAGAGGAUCAUGACCUGGCAAUCAGAGGAUUUCUGCACUGAUCCAAGCCAGAAAAAUGCUACUUUGCUUGGUGGACACUUCCCAUGGAUUUCUUACACAUCCACAUCCAAGGAGUGGAUCUAUCUGUCACGCACACCAAGCUGCUAACGCCCGUGUGGUCUUGGUAGGAAAAUGCAAAGGAAAUCCAAAAGUGCUGGCCUUGACUCCCUUCCUCACUGUCCUUCCAUACCUGCUCUGCCUUGGCUUUGUGCCCUGCUCCCUCCCUAGCGCUCUUAUCUCCCACUGAACCUGAGAAACAAAUGCUUGUGGAAGCUAAGUCGUCCCCAGCUGUUCGCUCUGUUCCUGAGCUCCCUUCCUCCCUCUCAUUCCUUUUGGAUCUGUUUCUAAACUUUUUGGGGCAGCAACUACUUUUCUGCAUGCAACAUCAAUGGACACUGUUCUUGGCUGGCCUCAAGGCACAACUGGAAUAAAUGUGAAUAACAACAACAGUGACAAAAAGUAUCAACAUUGGUAAUGACAGUAAUAAUUAUUAUUGUUAUUAUUAUACAGUCAACCAGACUGACUUGGUAAUUAUUUGCAUAAUUUGUAUAUAUAAUUUGCAUAAGCAGAAUAAAAGACUGUUCUCAUAU
rnacentral:lncRNA from 7 species